GCCUGGCUAGCUCAAUCGGUAGAGCGUGAGACUCUUACGUAAGUGAUCUCAAGGUUGCGGGUUCGACCCCCGCGUUAGGCU